UACAGAGGGUGCAAGCGUUAAUCGGACUUACUGGGCGUAAAGGGCGCGUAGGCGGAUACGUAAGUCAGAUGUGAAAGGCCAUGGCUUAACCAUGGAAUGUCAUUUGAGACUGCGAGUCUAGAGUCGAAGAGAGGGAAGCGGAAUUUCCGGUGUAGCGGUGAAAUGCGUAGAGAUGCGGAGGAACACCAGUGGCGAAAGCGGCUUUCUGGUCCUUAACUGACGCUGAGGCGCGAAAGCAUGGGGAGCGAACGGG
rnacentral:rRNA from 1 species